UACGUAGGGUGCAAGCGUUGUCCGGAAUUAUUGGGCGUAAAGAGCUUGUAGGCGGUUUAUCGCGUCUGCUGUGAAAUUUCGGGGCUCAACCCCGAACUUGCAGUGGGUACGGGCAGACUAGAGUGUGGUAGGGGAGACUGGAAUUCCUGGUGUAGCGGUGAAAUGCGCAGAUAUCAGGAGGAACACCGAUGGCGAAGGCAGGUCUCUGGGCCACUACUGACGCUGAGAAGCGAAAGCAUGGGGAGCGAACAGG
rnacentral:rRNA from 1 species